rnacentral:rRNA from 1 species
UGGGGAAUAUUGCACAAUGGGGGAAACCCUGAUGCAGCGACGCCGCGUGAACGAAGAAGGUAUUCGUAUCGUAAAGUUCUGUCCUAUGGGAAGAUAAUGACAGUACCAUAGAAGAAAGCUCCGGCUAAAUACGUGCCAGCAGCCGCGGUAAUACGUAUGGAGCGAGCGUUGUCCGGAAUUAUUGGGCGUAAAGGGUACGCAGGCGGUUUAAUAAGUCGAAUGUUGAAGAUCGGGGCUCAACCCCGUAAAGCAUUGGAAACUGAUAAACUUGAGUAGUGGAGAGGAAAGUGGAAUUCCUAGUGUAGUGGUGAAAUACGUAGAUAUUAGGAGGAAUACCAGUAGCGAAGGCGACUUUCUGGACACAAACUGACGCUGAGGUACGAAAGCGUGGGGAGCAAACAGG